GAGCAAUCUGUGUGACUGCGUACCUUUUGUAUAAUGGGUCAGCGACUUAUAUUCUGUAGCAAGGUUAACCGAAUAGGGGAGCCGAAGGGAAACCGAGUCUUAACUGGGCGUUAAGUUGCAGGGUAUAGACCCGAAACCCGGUGAUCUAGCCAUGGGCAGGUUGAAGGUUGGGUAACACUAACUGGAGGACCGAACCGACUAAUGUUGAAAAAUUAGCGGAUGACUUGUGGCUGGGGGUGAAAGGCCAAUCAAACCGGGAGAUAGCUGGUUCUCCCCGAAAGCUAUUUAGGUAGCGCCUCGUGAAUUCAUCUCCGGGGGUAGAGCACUGUUUCGGCAAGGGGGUCAUCCCGACUUACCAACCCGAUGCAAACUGCGAAUACCGGAGAAUGUUAUCACGGGAGACACACGGCGGGUGCUAACGUCCGUCGUGAAGAGGGAAACAACCCAGACCGCCAGCUAAGGUCCCAAAGUCAUGGUUAAGUGGGAAACGAUGUGGGAAGGCCCAGACAGCCAGGAUGUUGGCUUAGAAGCAGCCAUCAUUUAAAGAAAGCGUAAUAGCUCACUGGUCGAGUCGGCCUGCGCGGAAGAUGUAACGGGGCUAAACCAUGCACCGAAGCUGCGGCAGCGACGCUGAUGCGUUGUUGGGUAGGGGAGCGUUCUGUAAGCCUGUGAAGGUGUGCUGUGAGGCAUGCUGGAGGUAUCAGAAGUGCGAAUGCUGACAUAAGUAACGAUAAAGCGGGUGAAAAGCCCGCUCGCCGGAAGACCAAGGGUUCCUGUCCAACGUUAAUCGGGGCAGGGUGAGUCGACCCCUAAGGCGAGGCCGAAAGGCGUAGUCGAUGGGAAACAGGUUAAUA
rnacentral:rRNA from 1 species